rnacentral:rRNA from 1 species
UCAAGUGACUUUGCGCCGAAAAUGUCCGGGGCUAAAACGUAUCACCGAAGCUAUGGGAAUUGAUGUAAUCAUUAAUGUUUUUAUAGAUACAAUAUCAACAUUAAUGCGAUAGGACAUUUUGCACAAAAUAUCCCUGAAAAGAUAUCCCGAAGGGAUAAUUAAGAAAGAAAUUUUGUGCUAAAUGCUUUACAGCUAAGACGUAUCAAUAAAGAUAGUAAUGAUUACAUCAAUUCGGUAGGCGAGCGUUCUAUAUGGGCAGAAGCUAACUUGUAAGAGUUGGUGGACUAUAUAGAAGCGAGAAUGUUGGCAUGAGUAGCGAGAGGCAGGUGAGAAUCCUGCCCGUCGAAAACCUAAGGUUUCCUGAGGAAGGCUCGUCCGCUCAGGGUUAGUCGGGACCUAAGCCGAGGUCAAAAGGCGUAGGCGAUGGACAACAGGUUAAAAUUCCUGUACCACCUUAAGUCGUUGAGAGAUGGAGUGACACAGAAGGAUAGGCACAGCGCACCGUUGGUUGAGUGCGUCUAAGUAAGUAGGGAGCUCAAAGAGGCAAAUCCCUUUGAGCAUAUUCCGAGAUACGAAUGGGAGCGAAAAAUAAGUAGCGAACUGGCUGACUCCACACUGUCGAGAAAAACUUCUAUCGAGACUUAAAGGUGCCCGUACCGCAAACCGACACAGGUAGGUAAGGAGAGAAUCCUAAGACGAUCGGGAGAACUAUUGUUAAGGAACUAGGCAAAAUGACCCCGUAACCUCGGGAGAAGGGGAGCCGAUUUUGGUUAAAGAUUUACUCUGUAAGCUAAAAUCGGCCGCAGAGAAUAGGCCCAAGCGACUGUUUAGCAAAAACACAGGUCUCUGCUAAGUCGAAAGACGAAGUAUAGGGGCUGACGCCUGCCCGGUGCUGGAAGGUUAAGGAGAUGUGUUAGCCUAAGCGUGCAUUAAUGUAAGCAAAGGCAAAGCAUUGAACUUAAGCCCCAGUAAACGGCGGCCGUAACUAUAACGGUCCUAAGGUAGCGAAAUUCCUUGUCGGGUAAGUUCCGACCCGCACGAAAGGCGUAACGAUUUGGGCACUGUCUCAACAAUAGACCCGGUGAAAUUGUAAUACCAGUGAAGAUGCUGGUUACCCGCGACAGGACGGAAAGACCCCGUGGAGCUUUACUGCAACUUGACAUUGGAUUUCGGUGCUAUAUGUACAGCAUAGGUGGGAGACAUAGAAGCCAGGACGCUAGUUUUGGUGGAGUCGCCAUUUGGAUACCACUCUUAUAGUACUGAAGUUCUAACCACAAGCCGUAAUCCGGUUUUGGAACAUUGUCUGGUGGGCAGUUUGACUGGGGCGGUCGCCUCCCAAACAGUAACGGAGGCGCCCAAAGGUUCCCUCAGCACGGUUGGAAAUCGUGCGUAGAGCGUAAAGGCAGAAGGGAGCUUGAUUGCGAGAGCAACAUCUCGAGCAAGGACGAAAGUCGGGCUUAGUGAUCCGGUGGUUCCGAGUGGAAGGGCCAUCGCUCAACGGAUAAAAGCUACCCCGGGGAUAACAGGCUUAUCUCCCCCAAGAGUCCACAUCGACGGGGAGGUUUGGCACCUCGAUGUCGGCUCAUCACAUCCUGGGGCUGAAGUAGGUCCCAAGGGUUGGGCUGUUCGCCCAUUAAAGUGGUACGCGAGCUGGGUUCAGAACGUCGUGAGACAGUUCGGUCCCUAUCCGUCGUGGGCGCAGGAAAUUUGAGAGGAGCUGUCCUUAGUACGAGAGGACCGGGAUGGACACACCACUGGUGAACCAGUUGUUCUGCCAAGAGCAUAGCUGGGUAGCUAAGUGUGGCAGGGAUAAGUGCUGAAGGCAUCUAAGCACGAAGCCCCCCUCAAGAUAAGAUUUCCCACCUUAAAAAGGUUAAGACCCCAGAAAGACCAUCUGGUUGAUAGGCCUAAAGUGUAAGUGCAGCAAUGUACUAAGCUGAUAGGUACUAAUAGGUCGAGGGCUUGACCA